rnacentral:misc_RNA from 1 species
GUUUUAGUCGCUUAGGGUUUUUGCUCCUUUGAUUGACAUAAUUGUUUCCCAUUGUUUCGCUUGUUCGAUUGCGUUGGUUGAGGAUAGUUUUAGAAUUUUAUUGAACGCCUUUGAAGCUAUUGCUCAGUGUGAUUCUUCUAAUUACCUGAAAUAUCAAGCAUACACUUGUGCAUAGCAUUUUGUGUGGGCAAAAAGCAUAUGUAGGUCCAUAUGUGGCUCUAGCAAAGUUGAAAAAUUAGCGUAACAACUAUUAAUCGCCAGCAGGAUGCAAUUCUGCUGGAAAAGUAUGAACAUAUACAGUUUUGGGCAAAUUUAUGUUUGUCAUCAGAAAAUAUUCUUGGUGCUUAUGAGAUUUUUAAGUUUAAUUAAUAGCGUGUUUUGGUUUAAUUUUAUUUUCAAUUCAUUCCAUUGUAAUUUUAGAUUCAAGUGGGUUGUUUGCAUUUAGACUUCUGGAUUGUCAUUGCAUAGGAUGCUAAAUACAACGGAAAAUGACUUCAUGGUUGGCAUGCUAUAGUCUUGCAGAAAAAGCAAUCAAAUAAGGAAUGGAAUAAAGUGUAAUAUAGCAAGACUAAAAUGUUAAAAUGAUGGAUUAUCUAUACUUGAAGGGCGAAAUGAGAUGUGGAUUUUUCUUCCUUAUUGAAUUCAUUUAUUUUUAUAAUUUUAUUAAAAUAGAAAUGCAAUGGCGAGAGACUAGUAUAACAAAUGUGAACAUGUGAUUAAGG